rnacentral:rRNA from 1 species
AUGGCCGGUGCGCGCAAGGAGGCUAGUGUUGUCGUCGCCGUCACCCUCGUGGUGGUGGUGGUGGCCGCAUCAUCCAUGCCGGUGGUCAAGGGGGAUGACAAGUCUGCUUGCGUCGGCGAGUACUCCAAGCUCUGCGGCAACAAGGACCCCGCGUGCACCACCAUGGUCGAGACGACCUGCCACGAUGAUGCCGACAGCGUCAAGGCCAUCAAGGGCAUGUUCGACGAGCUGGCCAAGGUCGGUGGAGACAACUAUGAUUAUGCUUCUACGGCAAUGUCGUGGGGGCACGUUGCUCUCGGCCAUGCCGUCGACGAGCAUGGGGCCUGCCCCGGCAACAAGACGGUCGGAGAUUUUGCCGGCGAGCACUGCAUCCCGGACCUCGACGCGGCAUGCAAGGAUCCCAGCUGCAGCGACGGAGCUUACAUCGAAUGCGGCGGUGCGGCGUCGAGAUUCUGCUACAUCAAGGCCACCCCCGCCGACAAGAAAGCCAUACAGCAAAACUUGAAAUGCUUCAAGGAGUGUUUAGCGCAGAAGAAGAAAAGUGAAGACUGCAUCCUCCACAACAAUGAAAAGUGUCCGGCCGCUUGA